GACGGAGGGGGCUAGCGUUAUUCGGAAUUACUGGGCGUAAAGGGUGUGUAGGCCGUUUUUUAAGCAAGAUGUGAAAGCCUCAAGCUCAACUUGAGAACUGCAUCUUGAACUGAAAAACUAGAGUGCGAAAGGGGAAAGAGGAAUUCCUAGUGUAGGGGUGAAAUCCAUAGAUAUUAGGAAGAACACCAAAGGCGAAGGCAACUUUCUGGUUCGCAACUGACGCUGAGACACGAAAGCGUGGGGAGCAAAUAGG
rnacentral:rRNA from 1 species